rnacentral:rRNA from 1 species
CGGGGAUAACAGGCUGAUACCGCCCAAGAGUUCAUAUCGACGGCGGUGUUUGGCACCUCGAUGUCGGCUCAUCACAUCCUGGGGCUGAAGUAGGUCCCAAGGGUAUGGCUGUUCGCCAUUUAAAGUGGUACGCGAGCUGGGUUUAGAACGUCGUGAGACAGUUCGGUCCCUAUCUGCCGUGGGCGCUGGAGAAUUGAGGGGGGCUGCUCCUAGUACGAGAGGACCGGAGUGGACGCAUCACUGGUGUUCGGGUUGUCAUGCCAAUGGCACUGCCCGGUAGCUAAAUGCGGAAGAGAUAAGUGCUGAAAGCAUCUAAGCACGAAACUUGCCCCGAGAUGAGUUCUCCCUGAGACUUUAAGUCUCCUGAAGGAACGUUGAAGACGACGACGUUGAUAGGCCGGGUGUGUAAGCGCAGCGAUGCGUUGAGCUAACCGGUACUAAUGAACCGUGAGGCUUAACCUUACAACGCCGAAG